AUUACCUUUAAUACGGUCCAGAGAGGCUGAAAAGGGAUACUUGAUAGGUGAAGCUAUUAUCUUUUUAAUAUCUUUGUUAUUUCAUGCCCUUUUGUCUAAUCUGACGAAAGGGCAUUUUGUU
rfam:Paenibacillus pini JCM 16418 DNA, contig: contig00008.